rnacentral:lncRNA from 1 species
AGUGGCAACCUGCUUGGGUCCCCUUCCACCCUGUGGAAGCUUUAUUCUUUUGCCCUUCACAAUAAAUCUUGCUGCUGCUUACUCUUUGGGUCUACAUUACCUUUAUGAGCUGUAUCGCUCACCAUGAGGGUCUGCGGCUUCACUCCUGAGGUCAGCGAGACCACGAACCCACUGGGAGGAACAAACAACUCCAGAAGCACAACCUUUAAGAGCUGUAACACUCACUGUGAAGGUCUGUGGCUUCACUCCUGAAGUCAGCGAGACCACGAACCCACCAGAAGGAAGAAACUCCGGACACAUCUGAAAUCUGAAGAAACAAACUCUGGACACACCAUCUUUAAGAACUGUAACACUCACUGCGAGGGUCCCCGACUUCAUUCUUAAAGUCAGUGAGACCAAGAACCCACUGGAAGGAACCAAUUCUGGGCACAUAAAUAUGCAGCAAAAUACAAUAUGUCUCACUCCGUCACCCAGACUGGAGUGCGGUGGCAUGAUCUCAGCUCAAUGCAACCUCUGCCUCCUGCGUUCAACAUUUUAAAAAGGUUGUACAUCUAGCAAUACCUAACAAAAUAGGAAAUCAACUUGGAAAGCCAAUGGCUGUGUUUUGAGUUUAUGGAGAGCCAUAUGUGGCAAGGAACUGAGGGUGGCAUCCAGGCAACAGACUUCAAGAAACUGAGGCUGUCAGUCCAACAACCCACAAGAACUGAAUCUGACCAACAAUCACAGGAACAAACUUAGAAGUAUACUCUUUCCCAGACAAACCUUCAGAUGAGACCACAGCCCCAGCCAUAAGCUUGAAAACAAUCUCAUGAGGGACCUUGAGCCACAGGCAUGUAGUAAAGCUAUGCCAGGAAUCCUGCCUGCCCCACAGAAAAUGUAAAAAAAAUAAAUUUUUAUUGUUUUA